UUGGACCUGAUAUCAAGUAAGACUACCCGCUGAACUUAAGCAUAUCA
rnacentral:rRNA from 1 species